UGGUUCUGGCAUCGAUGAAGAACGCAGCGAAAUGCGAUAAGUAAUGUGAAUUGCAGAAUUCAGUGAAUCAUCGAAUCUUUGAACGCACAUUGCGCCCUCUGGUAUUCCGGGGGGCAUGCCUGUUCGAGCGUCAUUACAACCCUCAAGCUCUGCUUGGUACUGGGCGACACGGUGGUGCGCCUCAAAAUUAGUGGCGAUGCCAUCUGGCUUCAAGCGUAGUAAAUUUCCUCGCUACGGAGUCCAGGUGGUGUCUGCCAGCAACCCAUACUUCUCAAGGUUGACCUCGGAUCAGGUAGGGAUACCCGCUGA
rnacentral:misc_RNA from 1 species